rnacentral:rRNA from 1 species
GACGAACCGUGCGAACGUUGUUCGGAAUCACUGGGCUUAAAGGGCGCGUAGGCGGGCCGCCCAGUCCGGGGUGAAAUCUUCCGGCUUAACCGGAAAAGGGCCUUGGAUACUGGCGGUCUGGAGGAAGGUAGGGGCAUGCGGAACUUCCGGUGGAGCGGUGAAAUGCGUUGAUAUCGGAAGGAACGCCGGUGGCGAAAGCGGCGUGCUGGACCUUUGCUGACGCUGAGGCGCGAAAGCCAGGGGAGCGAACGGG